rnacentral:rRNA from 1 species
UUGAACGCUGGCGGCAGGCCUAACACAUGCAAGUCGAGCGGAUGAAGGGAGCUUGCUCCUGGAUUCAGCGGCGGACGGGUGAGUAAUGCCUAGGAAUCUGCCUGGUAGUGGGGGAUAACGUCCGGAAACGGGCGCUAAUACCGCAUACGUCCUGAGGGAGAAAGUGGGGGAUCUUCGGACCUCACGCUAUAAGAUGAGCCUAGGUCGGAUUAGCUAGUUGGUGGGGUAAAGGCCUACCAAGGCGACGAUCCGUAACUGGUCUGAGAGGAUGAUCAGUCACACUGGAACUGAGACACGGUCCAGACUCCUACGGGAGGCAGCAGUGGGGAAUAUUGGACAAUGGGCGAAAGCCUGAUCCAGCCAUGCCGCGUGUGUGAAGAAGGUCUUCGGAUUGUAAAGCACUUUAAGUUGGGAGGAAGGGCAGUAAGUUAAUACCUUGCUGUUUUGACGUUACCAACAGAAUAAGCACCGGCUAACUUCGUG